rnacentral:rRNA from 1 species
GAUGAACGCUGGCGGCGUGCCUAAUACAUGCAAGUCGAGCGAACAGACGAGGAGCUUGCUCCUCUGACGUUAGCGGCGGACGGGUGAGUAACACGUGGAUAACCUACCUAUAAGACUGGGAUAACUUCGGGAAACCGGAGCUAAUACCGGAUAAUAUAUUGAACCGCAUGGUUCAAUAGUGAAAGACGGUUUUGCUGUCACUUAUAGAUGGAUCCGCGCCGCAUUAGCUAGUUGGUAAGGUAACGGCUUACCAAGGCAACGAUGCGUAGCCGACCUGAUAGGGUGAUCGGCCACACUGGAACUGAGACACGGUCCAGACUCCUACGGGAGGCAGCAGUAGGGAAUCUUCCGCAAUGGGCGAAAGCCUGACGGAGCAACGCCGCGUGAGUGAUGAAGGUCUUCGGAUCGUAAAACUCUGUUAUUAGGGAAGAACAAAUGUGUAAGUAACUAUGCACGUCUUGACGGUACCUAAUCAGAAAGCCACGGCUAACUACGUG